rnacentral:rRNA from 1 species
ACACGACUACAUUAGAUACCCGCGUAGUCCAGGGUGUAAACGCUGCGGGCUUGGUGUUGGGGGUCCUUUGAGGGCGCCCAGUGCCGGAGAGAAGUUGUUAAGCCUGCUGCUUGGGGAGUACGUCCGCAAGGCUGAAACUUAAAGGAAUUGGCGGGGAGCACCGCAACGGGAGGAGCGUGCGGUUUAAUUGGAUUCAACACCGUAAACUCACCAGGGAAGACUGUUACAUGAAGGCCGAGAUGAAGACUCUGCUAGAUUUUCAG